rnacentral:rRNA from 1 species
GGGUUGUGAGGUUAAGCGACUAAGCGUACACGGUGGAUGCCCUGGCAGUCAGAGGCGAUGAAGGACGUGCUAAUCUGCGAUAAGCGUCGGUAAGGUGAUAUGAACCGUUAUAACCGGCGAUUUCCGAAUGGGGAAACCCAGUGUGUUUCGACACACUAUCAUUAACUGAAUCCAUAGGUUAAUGAGGCGAACCGGGGGAACUGAAACAUCUAAGUACCCCGAGGAAAAGAAAUCAACCGAGAUUCCCCCAGUAGCGGCGAGCGAACGGGGAGCAGCCCAGAGCCUGAAUCAGUGUGUGUGUUAGUGGAAGCGUCUGGAAAGGCGCGCGAUACAGGGUGACAGCCCCGUACACAAAAAUGCACAUGCUGUGAGCUCGAUGAGUAGGGCGGGACACGUGGUAUCCUGUCUGAAUAUGGGGGGACCAUCCUCCAAGGCUAAAUACUCCUGACUGACCGAUAGUGAACCAGUACCGUGAGGGAAAGGCGAAAAGAACCCCGGCGAGGGGAGUGAAAAAGAACCUGAAACCGUGUACGUACAAGCAGUGGGAGCACGCUUAGGCGUGUGACUGCGUACCUUUUGUAUAAUGGGUCAGCGACUUAUAUUCUGUAGCAAGGUUAACCGAAUAGGGGAGCCGAAGGGAAACCGAGUCUUAACUGGGCGUUAAGUUGCAGGGUAUAGACCCGAAACCCGGUGAUCUAGCCAUGGGCAGGUUGAAGGUUGGGUAACACUAACUGGAGGACCGAACCGACUAAUGUUGAAAAAUUAGCGGAUGACUUGUGGCUGGGGGUGAAAGGCCAAUCAAACCGGGAGAUAGCUGGUUCUCCCCGAAAGCUAUUUAGGUAGCGCCUCGUGAAUUCAUCUCCGGGGGUAGAGCACUGUUUCGGCAAGGGGGUCAUCCCGACUUACCAACCCGAUGCAAACUGCGAAUACCGGAGAAUGUUAUCACGGGAGACACACGGCGGGUGCUAACGUCCGUCGUGAAGAGGGAAACAACCCAGACCGCCAGCUAAGGUCCCAAAGUCAUGGUUAAGUGGGAAACGAUGUGGGAAGGCCCAGACAGCCAGGAUGUUGGCUUAGAAGCAGCCAUCAUUUAAAGAAAGCGUAAUAGCUCACUGGUCGAGUCGGCCUGCGCGGAAGAUGUAACGGGGCUAAACCAUGCACCGAAGCUGCGGCAGCGACGCUGAUGCGUUGUUGGGUAGGGGAGCGUUCUGUAAGCCUGCGAAGGUGUGCUGUGAGGCAUGCUGGAGGUAUCAGAAGUGCGAAUGCUGACAUAAGUAACGAUAAAGCGGGUGAAAAGCCCGCUCGCCGGAAGACCAAGGGUUCCUGUCCAACGUUAAUCGGGGCAGGGUGAGUCGACCCCUAAGGCGAGGCCGAAAGGCGUAGUCGAUGGGAAACAGGUUAAUAUUCCUGUACUUGGUGUUACUGCGAAGGGGGGACGGAGAAGGCUAUGUUGGCCGGGCGACGGUUGUCCCGGUUUAAGCGUGUAGGCUGGUUUUCCAGGCAAAUCCGGAAAAUCAAGGCUGAGGUGUGAUGACGAGGCACUACGGUGCUGAAGCAACAAAUGCCCUGCUUCCAGGAAAAGCCUCUAAGCAUCAGGUAACAUCAAAUCGUACCCCAAACCGACACAGGUGGUCAGGUAGAGAAUACCAAGGCGCUUGAGAGAACUCGGGUGAAGGAACUAGGCAAAAUGGUGCCGUAACUUCGGGAGAAGGCACGCUGAUAUGUAGGUGAAGUCCCUUGCGGAUGGAGCUGAAAUCAGUCGAAGAUACCAGCUGGCUGCAACUGUUUAUUAAAAACACAGCACUGUGCAAACACGAAAGUGGACGUAUACGGUGUGACGCCUGCCCGGUGCCGGAAGGUUAAUUGAUGGGGUCAGCGCAAGCGAAGCUCUUGAUCGAAGCCCCGGUAAACGGCGGCCGUAACUAUAACGGUCCUAAGGUAGCGAAAUUCCUUGUCGGGUAAGUUCCGACCUGCACGAAUGGCGUAAUGAUGGCCAGGCUGUCUCCACCCGAGACUCAGUGAAAUUGAACUCGCUGUGAAGAUGCAGUGUACCCGCGGCAAGACGGAAAGACCCCGUGAACCUUUACUAUAGCUUGACACUGAACAUUGAGCCUUGAUGUGUAGGAUAGGUGGGAGGCUUGGAAGUGUGGACGCCAGUCUGCAUGGAGCCGACCUUGAAAUACCACCCUUUAAUGUUUGAUGUUCUAACGUUGACCCGUAAUCCGGGUUGCGGACAGUGUCUGGUGGGUAGUUUGACUGGGGCGGUCUCCUCCUAAAGAGUAACGGAGGAGCACGAAGGUUGGCUAAUCCUGGUCGGACAUCAGGAGGUUAGUGCAAUGGCAUAAGCCAGCUUGACUGCGAGCGUGACGGCGCGAGCAGGUGCGAAAGCAGGUCAUAGUGAUCCGGUGGUUCUGAAUGGAAGGGCCAUCGCUCAACGGAUAAAAGGUACUCCGGGGAUAACAGGCUGAUACCGCCCAAGAGUUCAUAUCGACGGCGGUGUUUGGCACCUCGAUGUCGGCUCAUCACAUCCUGGGGCUGAAGUAGGUCCCAAGGGUAUGGCUGUUCGCCAUUUAAAGUGGUACGCGAGCUGGGUUUAGAACGUCGUGAGACAGUUCGGUCCCUAUCUGCCGUGGGCGCUGGAGAACUGAGGGGGGCUGCUCCUAGUACGAGAGGACCGGAGUGGACGCAUCACUGGUGUUCGGGUUGUCAUGCCAAUGGCACUGCCCGGUAGCUAAAUGCGGAAGAGAUAAGUGCUGAAAGCAUCUAAGCACGAAACUUGCCCCGAGAUGAGUUCUCCCUGACCCUUUAAGGGUCCUGAAGGAACGUUGAAGACGACGACGUUGAUAGGCCGGGUGUGUAAGCGCAGCGAUGCGUUGAGCUAACCGGUACUAAUGAACCGUGAGGCUUAACCUUACAACGCCGAAGCUGUU